UGCUAAUGCUAUUGAGUUCUUAAACAAAGAUCUUCCUGAGGACGAACGCUUGAGAUUUCUUCACUGGGAUAUAAACAAACGCCCGAGAAUCAAAGCUAAAAUGGCCUUGCUACGUCUAGGUGAUGUGGCUGCUAAUGCUUUGGAGUUAACUGGCUUUUUACACUGUCAGCUUAUCCCUACUUCAAGAACUGAGGAGUUACAAAAAUUGUCGCCCACCAGUUGUGAUGAUAGAGGAGACCAUGUUAAAGAGGACCUUGACGAAAUGGAUGUUGAAAUGGACAAUGAGUGUGACAAACUGCGUGGAGCUUACUGUGUCAAAGUUUCAUCAGUCCAAAAUGGAGUCUUAAGAACGAAUUGUGUAGACUGUUUGGAUCGCACAAAUGUUGGCCAGUAUGCCUAUGGACUGGUUGCUCUGUCCCAUCAGCUGCAUGCCUUAGGCUUUGUAGAUAUUGACAACAUCAACAUUGAUUCGCAUUCUCCUUUAGCACAAGAACUAAUGCAGAUCUACGAAGAAAUGGGAGACACUCUUGCACUGCAGUAUGGUGGCUCUGCUGCACAUAAUAAGAUAUUUUCAGAAAUGCGAGGCCAAUGGAAAGCAGCAACAAGGUCUCAAGAGAUCAUUAGAUCGGUCCAGCGUUACUACCGUAAUGCGUGCAUGGACCCUGCGAAACAAGAUGCCAUUAAUGUGUUCUUG
rnacentral:misc_RNA from 1 species